UAAAUGAUGUAUGAAGGAGAUUUUGUAUC
rnacentral:piRNA from 1 species